AUAUAUAGCAACCCUUCUUUGCUUAAGAUACCAAACAAUAUUGUGUGUACUGACCAACUCAGUUUUCAAACAACCUGUCGAACUGAACCCCGAAGAGUCACCACUUGAAACCAAUGGAUUCCAUCUGAAUCUGACAUGACUAAACCUCUCAGAUAGUGUUAUGCUAAUCCUUGAAGUUAUGUCCUCACAUUCUUCAAAAGUGUUAACUUUCGUCGACUUGAGCUUCCUCAAAUUCAGCAGUUAUAAACUCUUAUGUUCAAUCCUAAGGUUCUGACAUUAAUGCACGAAACUGAUUUGGUGUGGUAGUAACUUGAUAUAUAUCCAUAAACCUCCACAGUUCUCUGUCUUUGGUUCAGUUGAUUCUGGAUGGAUUUAGCAUCAGUACAAUUCACUGAGUAAUUGUAUAUCCCUGAAUCACUGAGUUAGAUUGAAAUCCCUUGAAGAUUCGUCCGUAAAAACUUCUCUUUUCCUACUACUAGUGGUGCCAUUCAAAGUUGACAUUCCGAGCCCUGGAAAGAUGCUUCAUUGUAGAUGUAGCAAAUUCCCAUCCUGAUCUGGUGAUCUGAUAAUCAAGUCGGAGUAAUUACUCAGAUCAAGGCCUGAAGUACCUUCUUCAAAAUCCACUUUUAG
rnacentral:lncRNA from 1 species